GAUGAACGCUAGCGGCAGGCCUAAUACAUGCAGGUCAAACGGUGUCUUCGGACAUAGUGGCGCACGGGUGCGUAACACGUAUGCAACCUACCUUACAUUGGGGGAUAGCCUUUCGAAAGGGAGAUUAAUACCGCAUAAGACAGUAGCUGGGCAUCCAGCAGCUGUUAAAGAUUUAUCGAUGUAAGCUGGGCAUGCGUCCAAUUAGCUAGUUGGUGAGGUAACGGCUCACCAAGGCAAUGAUUGGUAGGGGAGCUGAGAGGUCAAUCCCCCACACUGGCACUGAGAUACGGGCCAGACUCCUACGGGAGGCAGCAGUAGGGAAUAUUGGGCAAUGGACGCAAGUCUGACCCAGCCAUGCCGCGUGCAGGAUGAAGGCGUUAUGCGUUGUAAACUGCUUUUAUACAGGAAGAAACGACUCUUGAGAGAGGCAUUGACGGUACUGUAUGAAUAAGCACCGGCUAACUCCGUGCCAGCCGCCGCGGUAAGAC
rnacentral:rRNA from 1 species